GAGGUAGUGCCAGAGUAUUAGGGUAGGAAAGGGUCCAGGCUGGUGAGGUGAAGAACCAAUCCAAUCUUUCAAGAAAAGGAGCAGUCUGCAUGUUACUCCAGGUAUAUUUCCUACCCUUUAAAGGUACUAGUUAAAGGUAUGUCCACUAGGCCAAGUUUACUGAUGACUGCAUUAAACAUAAGCAUCUCAUUGAUACUACCCCUGGUUUUUUCCUAGCAUCAAAACUUCUGAUGAGAUUGAAAUCCCCUACUAAUAACCAAUCUGCCUCUUCAGGAAUUUGAAUGCCAUCAAGCCAUGCAAGAAAUUCAAGCUUCUUAUUAUCUUGACAAGGAGCAUAUAUGUUAGUUAGGGUCCAACAUGAGCCACAUCUGGUCGAUUGAAAGCCAACUGAGAGGCUUUGUUUUCGAGUCGUUCGACUAGUCGACGACUAGUCGAUGAGUCGCUGCUCCAGGUUCGACUCACACUCUCGACUCGACUCCUGGCAUGAGUCGAGCGACUCGAGCGACUAGUCACGACUAGUCGCUCUUUCUGGGUCGAGCGACUCACUUAAAUUGAGCCCAACUGUUAUAUGUUUUGUUUACAGUAUGGGCCGGCCCAUCUCCCCUGGAAACCUAGAUCGAUCAUCCCCCACCCCCUCCCCCUCCCCCCGAUCCAACCCUCUCCAGCCGCCACACCCCCUGCUGUCGUUCCCCUCCUCCCCUCCUAUGGUGUGCUCCUCCCCUCCUCCCCUGCUACUGUUGUUCUCNNNNNNNNNNNNNNNNNNNNNNNNNNNNNNNNNNNNNNNNNNNNNNNNNNNNNNNNNNNNNNNNNNNNNNNNNNNNNNNNNNNNNNNNNNNNNNNNNNNNNNNNNNNNNNNNNNNNNNNNNNNNNNNNNNNNNNNNNNNNNNNNNNNNNNNNNNNNNNNNNNNNNNNNNNNNNNNNNNNNNNNNNNNNNNNNNNNNNNNNNNNNNNNNNNNNNNNNNNNNNNNNNNNNNNNNNNNNNNNNNNNNNNNNNNNNNNNNNNNNNNNNNNNNNNNNNNNNNNNNNNNNNNNNNNNNNNNNNNNNNNNNNNNNNNNNNNNNNNNNNNNNNNNNNNNNNNNNNGGUUGAUGUGGCUGCUGGUGUGCUCCUCCCCUUGUUGCUGCUGCUGCUGUUGAGCACUUGUGCUCCUCCCCUCCUCCCCUGGUUGAUGUGGCUGCUGGUGUGCUCCUCCCCUUGUUGCUGCUGCUGCUGCUGUUGAGCACUUGUGCUCCUCCCCUGGCUGCUGCUUAACUCACGUCGACUCGUCGUCAUGUCGACUCAUCGACCAUGAGUCUAGACUAGUCUAGAGUCGCCCCCCUGAGCGACUCGUCGACUCAUCGACUCGAAAACAUUUCUGAGAGGGCAUAUUCGUUGAGCACUUCUCCAGAAAAUUGAGAUGAGGCCCAGACAAUUAGUAAUCCUCCUGAUGGUAAAUAAGCAAAGCAAUCAAAUCUGGCUAGGCAGAAUUUUCUGAUGAAGGAAAUGUCUAUAAUUUCUUUGUUGAUUUCCUGAAAACAGACCAUAGAACAACCACUCUCAUCAAUCUUAUUCUGGAUAUGCAGCCAUUUAUCUGGAGAAUUGACGCCUCUUAUGUCCCAGUUAAGUACUUUCCAAGCUUGCUUGGUCAUUGUGAACAAAUAGAGGGAGUGGGGUGCACAAGGGUACAUAGCAAUGACCUGAGAGGGACCAGGCCAAGGCAACAACAUAUACAAACUGCAGAUAAUCAUCAUAGUCACAUAGACCUUUAACUGAACAUAACUGGAAGGCUAAGUAAUAAGCCAUAGGAUAACAAAGGAAGCUGACUAGAGCUGCAGUUCCUCUUUCCUUCACUGCCUUCUUCUUGGGGUUCUUCUUGGUCUUGGCAUCAUUAGGAACCUUCUUGGAUGUUUUCUGCUUCUUCUGCACUGGAGGCUUGCUCUCCACCAUCCCAAAUUUAUCAUAGAGGCUCUUGACCACCUUCUUGUUAAGUGGAGGAGCAUCUGCAGCACAUGCAAGACAAUCUUUGUCAAGGCAUGUCUUACCCUUGUAGCCCCUGGCCAGUUGCUUGAGUCUAGCACUCCUAACUUCUGAGACCACUAGGGGAGUUUUCUGUUGCCUUUUCCUGAUGUGCACCACAGAAGUACUAAAAUGCUCCACUUGCACAACAUGAGAGGAUCUAAGUGCCUGUGGGGUGGAAUAACCCUUGGUAGCAUUCUGUCCAGCCAAAAACAGAGAGCACACUGAUGGGGCUUCUGAUGGGCAGCCUUGAGGGACCAGAAAAACUGAAAAGACAGUCCAUUUGAAUUGCCUUCCUGGAUUAACUGCCAAAGCUUCGAUUGGAGAAUAUUUUUUACCCACACAAAAUCCUCAGAUGACAGCAAUUUAGCUAUGAAAAAGUCAGUCCAAGAUACUGGAACAGACAGACUGGGAGUUUGGUAAAGCAGGACAAAAGUGUUUCUCCCUGGCAGCUCUUCCUUCCUGAGAGAAGACAGCAGUAAGCUGGAGAUUGUCUGCAGUUUGAACCUCUUUGUCCUGGGUCUGAACAACAUUCUUCUCCAAAUCAGCUUGAACAGGAUUGCCUAUAGCAGAGGAGAGAGUGGCAUGUGUUGUCAUUGCAAUCUGAGGUGUUUCAGUAGCUGCACAAUGAGAAGACAAGGUGUAGAAUAGGUUCUGACUCAAGUAGCACCUCAUGCUUUGCAUCUGCAAAACGAUGUAGGGUAGGAACCCUAAUCGGCCGAUCUUUCACGAAAGGAGCGGAUCUUGCGAUGAACACGAAGAACACGAGGAGGAAAACGAGGGGAAAAUCACAAGGGGAACACAAGAGAACAGUCAAACCAACAAGUAUGAUCACACAUGCGCUAGAUCCAUGAACACAAAGGAAGAUACGAGAUCCAAAGUCAACAACGGACGAUACAAAGGUAGCCGGUCUUCUCCGUGAGGAGGUCUUGAAUCCACAAGGGGAUCUUCCCUUAGAGGGGUCUUGAAUUCAAAGGGAUCUUCUCUGAAGAGGGGCCACGGUCUCUCUCGUGGAGUAGAUCCGAUGUGGAUGAGCAAUGAUCUAUCUCUAAAUAUGAGCUAAACCAAUGCUAACCCUAGUUAGGAUGAAUAUGAGAUCUAUUUAUAGUCUUAGUGCAGAUGGGGGGCGAAAGGAGGGGGUACAUGGGCUUCGAGCUCGAAACUGGACACAGCCAGGUAUCGGACGUCCGCCGGGGGCCGGUCGUCUGGUGGCUCACGGGCGUCCGGUAGUAGCCGGUCGUCCGCUGGUUCUGGCUCGGAUGUGGAAGUUGCGGAUUUCCGGAAGGGGCCGGUCGUCCGGUCGCCGGACGUCCGGUGGCGUCGGACUUCCGCUCGUUUGGCUCGGGUGCGGUGUCGCCGGUCGUCCGGUCCGGGCCGGACGUCCGCUCGCUGUAGCUCGGCUGGGGCUUCAGGCUCCGGUCGUCCGGUCCCGGCCGGUCGUCCGGUGGCUGGGGCUUCGUCCGCAACUCUUCUUCUUCUUCUCCGUCUUCACGCCCAUCUUCCUCUUCUGAUCCUCCUUGCUCCUUGGCUUCUUCAUGGCCAACUCCUUGAUACCUGAGUAUGCACAAUGUCUCCGUUUGAGGCUCUGUUUUUAAGGCGUCCCGCCUUGGACGCUUAGGCGAUAAGGCGCCCCGCCAGCGCCUUACAAAUAUGCCCGCCUUAGGCGCUUAGGCGUCGCCUAGGCGAUAAGGCGCCCCCCCCCCCCCAAGCGCCUUAGAUCGCCUUACCGCCUUAAAAACAUAGGUUUGAGGUAGUAGUCAUGUCUCAUGUGCAUCGAAGUGGAAAUGUGAGAGGAGAGAUGUCACCUUGGUUUCGAGAGCUCUUGCACGUGCUCGUGUCAUGGGUCCAAGUGGUGUUGUAGGAGAUGUAGUUGGGUCCAUAGGGAUGACCUUGGGAUGCUCCGCAUCAUCUCCCCUCCCUUGGGGAAGAUCCGUCCUCGGAUCAAAUUCUUCAUCACCAUGAAAGGGCGAGAGGUCCUUGACAUUGAAGAUAUCGCUCACUUUGUACUUGUCGCGUGGAAGGUCGAUCUUGUAAGCGUUGUCGUUGUAGCGUGCAAGCACCUUGAAGGGUCCGUCCGCUCGUGGUCGAAGUUUGGACUUGCGUUCUUGGGGAAAGCGGUCCUUGCGAAGGUGUAGCCACACGAGAUCACCAAUGUUGAAGACCAUGGGGUGCUUGUUGAUGUUGAGCUUGGUCGCAAGUCGUUGUACUUGGCGCUCGAUAGUAUGUCUUGUAUCUUCAUGCACCUUCUUGAGAUGGGUCACACGUGCACUUGCGUCCAAAUUGAUGCGCUCUUGGAGUGGUAGAGGAAGAAUGUCCAAUGGUGAUAAUGGGUUGAAUCCGUAGACAACCUCGAAGGGGGACUUGCCGGUUGUUGAGUGUGUUUGCUCGGUUGUAGGUGAACUCGGCGAUAGGUAGGCACUCCUCCCACUCCUUGAUGUUCUUCUUGAUGAGUACUCGAAGUAGAGCGGAGAGUGUGCGGUUGGUCACCUCCGUUUGGUCGUCGGUUUGUGGAUGAUACGCCGUGGAGAAGAGUAGCUUGAUUCCGAGCUUGGCGCAUAGGGUCUUCCAAAAGUAGCUAAGGAAUUUGACGUCGUGGUCCGAGACGAUAGUCUUUGGCACUCCAUGUAGACGCAAUAUUUCUCUACAAAAGAGAUUAGCAACAUGUGAAGCAUCGUCUAUCUUGUUGCAAGGAAUGAAAUGUGCCAUUUUAGAGAAACGGUCCACAACGACAAAUACCGAAUCCUUCCCAUUUCUAGUCCUAGGCAAAUCAAGUACGAAAUCCAUGCUAAUGUCUUCCCAUGAUUGAUAUGGAAUUGGGAGAGGCAUGUAAAGGCCAUGGGAUUGAGCUUUAGACUUAGCUUUGUGACAUGUAGAGCAUCGGUUGGUGAAGCGGUUAACGUCACGAAACAUCUUGGGCCAAUAGUAGUUCUUGGAGAGCGUGGCAAAAGUCUUGUCGCGUCCAAAAUGUUCCAUUAAGCCUCCUCCAUGAGAUUCCUGCAAAAGCAACAAACGAAGAGAAGACUCGGGGAUGCAAAGCUUGUUAGCUCUCAUAAGAUAUCCAUCUUUGAUGUAAUAGCAUUCCCAAGAGGUGUGCGUCAAACACUUGGCAUAAGGAGUAGCAAAAGUAGGAUCAUGCUCAUACAAGUCUUUUAUAUGCUCAAAACCAAUGACGUACAAUUCAAGUUGAGUAACAAGCAUGCAUAUGCGGGAAAGGGCAUCCGCCACAAUGUUUUCCUUACAUUUAAUGUACUUGAUGACAUAAGGAAAAGACUCAAUAAAUUCACUCCAUUUAGCAUGACGCUUGUUCAACUUGGUUUGGCCCUUAAGAUACUUGAGCGUUUCAUGUAGGGUAGGAACCCUAAUCGGCCGAUCUUUCAUGAAAGGAGCGGAUCCCGCGAUGAACACGAAGAACACGAGGGAAACGAGGGGAAAAUCACAAGGGGAACACAAGAGAACACUCAAACCAACAAGUAUGAUCACACAUGCGCUAGAUCCAUGAACACAAAGGAAGAUACGAGAUCCAAAGUCAACAACGGACGAUACAAAGGUAGCCGGUCUUCUCCGUGAGGAAGUCUUGAAUCCACGAGGGGAUCUUCCCUUAGAGGGGUCUUGAAUCCAAAGGGAUCUUCUCCGAAGAGGGGCCGCGGUCUCUCUCGUGGAGUAGAUCCGAUGUGGAUGAGCAAUGCUCUAUCUCUAAAUAUGAGCUAAACCAAUGCUAACCCUAGCUAGGAUGAAUAUGAGAUCUAUUUAUAGUCUUAGUGCAAAUGGGGGGCGAAAGGAGGGGGUACAUGGGCUUCAGGCCCGAAACUGGACACAGCCAGGUACCGGACGCUCGCGGGGGGCCGGUCGUCCGGUGGCUCACGGGCGUCCGGACGUCCGGUAGUAGCCGGUCGUCCGCUGGUUCUGGCUCGGAUGUGGAAGUUGCGGAUUUCCGGAAGGGGCCGGUCGUCCGGUCGCCGGACGUCCGGUGGCGUCGGACUUCCGCUCGUUUGGCUCGGGUGCGGUGUCGCCGGUCGUCCGGUCCGGGCCGGACGUCCGCUCGCUGUAGCUCGGCUGGGGCUUCAGGCUCCGGACGUCCGGUCCCGACCGGUCGUCCGGUGGCCGAGGCUUCGUCCGCAGCUCUUCUUCUUCUUCUUCUUCUUCUUCUUCUUCUUCUCCGUCUUCACGCCCAUCUUCCUCUUCUGAUCCUCCUUGCUCCUUGGCUUCUUCAUGGCCAACUCCUUGAUACCUGAGUAUGCACAAUGUCUCCGUUUGAGGUAGUAGCCAUGUCUCAUGUGCAUCGAAGUGGAAAUGUGAGAGGAGAGAUGUCACCUUGGUUUCGAGAGCUCUUGCACGUGCUCGUGUCAUGGGUCCAAGUGGUGUCGUAGGAGAUGUAGUUGGGUCCACGGGGAUGACCUUGGGAUGCUCCGCAUCACAAAAGUAAAAGUCCCCUCCAUUGCAGCACAAGGCAAAUAGUCCAACUUUCUCUGGUGAGAGAAUAGUGCAGUCAGAGGCAGAGCAUCAUAAUCCACUUGCUGUUCAAGUACCACCAUACUAAGAUGGAUGUUGUUCAUAAUAAUAUUGCCAGCUUGCUGGACUGGAACAUCAACUAGCUUUUCAUUUGGAACUCCCAUGCCCACCUGGAAUGCAUUUGACGGAAUCACUAGAAGUGUUCUCUUGAGUCAGAACUGAAGGUCACAGUCAGAUCACUAAUGGCCAUCUCCACCACAGGAACAUUAAGAUCCAGAUCAUUGGCCUGCACUUCAUGAAGAAUUGGUUGAAUAGGAGGAUGAUUAUGAAUCACAGGAUUAAGCAUCUCUUCCAGUUUCUGGAAUUCCUCCUGAUUGAGCUCAUGAGCCCCUGCUAUAAGAUCACUGAUCUCCAGGAAAUCUCCUGGUACAUGCUGCCGUGGGUUUUGAUUUAAGUCAAUAACUGGUCCCAAGAUAUGAUUAACAUUCUGACCUGCAAUAUUAACCUGAUCCUGCAGAUUAGGGUCAGAAUUAUGCUGUAAAUGCUGAUCAUACUGCUCCUCGUGCCCAAUUUCAGCAGGCUGAAUCCCUGGCUGAUCAUCCCAUUCUGGCCAAAACUGCUCCUCAUGCCCAAUGUCAGCAGACUGAAUCCCUGGCUGAUCAUCCCUCCGGCCCAGAUGGUUUACCGGUGCUUUUUUCAGAGCUUGCUGGAACACCAUCAAAUCAGAUGUCAUGGUGGUGAUUAACCUCUUCUCCAACCUGCAAAUGGCUAACUUUCAUUGGCUCAAUUUGCCAGACAUUGUUUUGAUCCCCAAGAAAGAGUCUGAGCCGUGUACUACCUUCCAUCAACGUGUCUAAAGGCAUUAAGAAGAGUCUAAGCAACAAGAUGAAGGCUUUCCUUUGGGGCUGUACCGAAAGGAUUUAUGGUGGAAAAUGCAAGGUUAAUUGGUAGCAUGUUUGUCGUCCAGCCGAUCUGGGAGGGCUUGGAGAUCUCCACCUCGGCAAGUUCUCCUGCGCCAUGAGCCUCUGCUGGUUGUGGCUUGUUUGGACAUCCCGGAGUGGCCUUGGGUUGGUCUCGAUCUCCAUUGCUACCACUCCGCUGGUUGUGGUUUGUGUGGAUUUGAAUCUAGUUUCAUGUUAUUCUUUAUGCGAACAUAUUUUUUCAUAUUCUCUGGAAAAGAGAUGCGGAAUAACAUCACUCUCAGUCUUGCAGAAUUUUCAGAGUGAUAUUUAUAAAACCAUCUGUCUAGUUUUAUUUUGUAAUAUGGUUCAAUCGUUUCUUUUCCAUCGUGGACACGUGUACAGCAGUGUCCUGCUUUGUUUAUGAAUGGUUCGGUCUUCUGCUGGAUCGUACCUGUUUGUACAACUGUGGAGAAGUAUAUAGCAGUAUCUUGCUUUGUAGAUGAUGGAACAUGAUGCAGACGAGGAGCACAUGGAGGCGCACCUCCCUGUAAUUCGAACCAUUGGGAUGCAGACUGAAAUCGUUUUAGUUUCCCUAUUGAGCCAAUACAGUUUUAAUACAAACAAGUAUGACUCGCAUGACAUUGUAGAGAAGUAAUGAUGAGUUAAGAGCAAAUACAAUAGUGGGCUUAUAGCCUGCUUACAUGACAUUUUUGUUUAUGUGGAGGAGAGAGAUGUGAAAAAGUAAGGAAAGUGGGUUCU
rnacentral:lncRNA from 1 species